AGCAGCCGCGGUAAUUCCAGCUCCAAUAGCGUAUAUUAAAGUUGUUGCAGUUAAAAAGCUCGUAGUUGAAUUUCGGGAUCAAUAUAACGGUCAUGCCGUUGGUAUGCACUGUUAUAAUUGAUUUCUCACCUUCUAAAGAACCGUAAUGCCAUUAAUUUGGUGUCACGGGGAAUUAGGACUGUUACCUUGAAAAAAUUAGAGUGUUUAAAGCAGGCUCACGCUUGAAUACAUUAGCAUGGAAUAAUGAAAUAGGACAUCCGAUUCUAUUUUGUUGGUUUCUAGGAUCGAUGUAAUGAUUAAUAGGGAUAGUUGGGGGCAUUAGUAUUCAAUUGUCAGAGGUGAAAUUCUUGGAUUUAUUAAAGACUAACUACUGCGAAAGCAUUUGCCAAGGAUGUUUUCAUUAAUCAAGAACGAAAGUUAGGGGAUCGAAGACGAUCAGAUACCGUCGUAGUCUUAACCAUAAACUAUGCCGACUAGGGAUCGGAUGAUGUUAAUUUUUAAUGACUCAUUCGGCGUCCG
rnacentral:rRNA from 1 species